CCCUUAGAUGCUCUGGGCCGCACGCGCGCUACACUGGUCGAUGCAACGAGUUUCUUUCCUUGGCCGACAGGCCUGGGCAAUCUUUGAACAUCGAUCGUGAUCGGGCUAGAUUCUUGUAAUUUUUGAUCUUAAACGAGGAAUUCCUAGUAAACGCAAGUCAUCAGCUUGCAUUGAUUACGUCCCUGCCCUUUGUACACACCGCCCGUCGCACCUACCGAUUGAAUGGUCCGGUGAAAUCUCCGGACUGGCGUGAGUCGGAGCAAUCUGACAAACACCGGAAAGUUGAUUAAACCUUACCAUUUAGAGGAAGGUGAAGUCGUAACA
rnacentral:rRNA from 1 species